CCCGGCCUCGCAGGGGAGGGGGCGGCCGCCAUAUGGCAGAGGCGAGGGGGAGGGAGGGGAAUGUGAGCGUUAUGAGCUGCGCGGGGGAAAAAAAAAAAAAAGAAAGAAAGAAAUCUAUAAGAAAAAAAAAGAAAAAAUAGUUCCAUGUAAACUCCGAGUGCUCCCCAUGUCAUGAAUGAGCCUUUCCUCCUCGCACCCUCCGGGACGGCGGGGCGGGCCCGGUGGCCGCGGGCACCGUGUUGAGGCUGCGGCCGGGUGGUUUGAGCUGGAAACGAAUUGGCGGCUUCCUCGUGUCCUUUAUAGGCGGCGGACAGGGGGUUCGGGACGGAGCGGGCGGACGGUGCGAGGCACGGGAGCAGGAGGCACUGACACGCGGGGGGCGAGACGGAGCCCUCGUGGGUGUGAGUGAGAGCAACAACGAGAGAGCCCGUCCCGUCUGAGGCCGCUUUGAUCCCCGCCGGGUAUCGCAGAGCCGCUAUCUGAGGGCGAUAAGCGGGAGCCGCUCCUCCCGCGGGCACCGAGCGCGGCGAUGCGGCGGCCGCGGGCAGAGGGCAGUGCUGCCCCGAGCACGGCGCGCCCUGGCCUCCCCGGGGACGGAGGGCGUCGGAGCUGAGCCCCGGGGCUUCGCCCGCCUCUUGCUCUCCGUCUGACACUUCUUUAUCUCUUUUUUCCCGUUUAACAUUAAACAAAAUUUGGUCCUCUAUUUCCAGCGACAGGAUGCGGCGGGUUUUCUCCGUCCUAUCCUAAGGCUCAACCUCCGAAGCGAAGAUGCCCCGAAUGUAGCGAGAGCAAAACCGAGGCCUCCAUCCCCGACGUGUGCGCGGGGGCUGGGAAUGAGCUCCCCGGGGUAGCUCAAGCGGUGCCGGCCUCGGGCACGCUCCGCUCCGGGGCUUCCCCGGUUUGGGGAGCUCACGUCCCCGCUAUUGCUUCCACAUGUUUCUGCAGGAAACCAUCGGAGUCGGAUCUGCGAGCGGCUUCUGCUCGGAAUGCUAACAGGACACCGGAAUGCUUGUGAAUAAACAACGAUGAGACUGAAUCAAAAGCAUAGGGGGAAAAUAAGGAGAAAAACAAACCAAUACACCCGGAGAUUCUCUGCCUGGGGGCGAACACACGCAGCAGCCCGACCCUGGAAUUUGAGGAGUAAAAAUCCCAUCUGUGGAGCCGAGGGCUUCGAGCACCGCGAGGAUGCGGCCGUGGGCAGCGCCUGGGAGCUCCACGGAGACCCCGCGGCCGUGCGGGUGGGGCGAUCCCCGAUUGGAGCAUCGCAGGGAUCGAAUGCGAUGCGAAGGGCGCUGCUGGGAAAGGAGAGAGCAAAAGGAAGGGGAGAAGGCGCCUUCUGGUUGCAAUUACCUGCCUCAUUUGAAUAAUACCUUUGUCGUGAUCUUUAUCGAGCAUUCGUUAACGGCUUCCAUGUGGGAUCUCACAAGAGCGAGAAAAGAAAAAGAAAAAAAAAAAAAAAAAAAGGAAUUUGGGUCUGGCAAAGCGGCCCGUGGGGCCGGGCCAGCCGUACCCCUUCCCCCGACGGGGCUCCCCGACAUCCACCACGGCAGCAAAAAGGGGCGAGGGCCCUGACCGCGGGAGGCACCCUCCGCCUUCCGCCUCGGUCCCGUCCGUCUGGCGGCGGUGCCUACGGGUUGGUCUCAGGCAGGAGGGCUAUGGCAUUAUUUAACACAGACCCCCUGGGACGGCUCCCGAGCUCUUCCUCCCGCCCCGUGAGGCGCAGGGGGGUCCCGUCCAGGAGGCGCGGGGUUACCGAGAGGACAGGCUGGGGGCGGGGGGAUUCUCAGCACGGCAGCUCCUUCUGCUCUCCCCUCCUCCCCCGACGUGUUGCCGCAUCAGGCAUCCCGGAGCGUGUGUUUAUGUGGCAACAGAUGGGAGCUGCACGCUCCGAACAGCACCGCGACGCCCGCUCUGAGGCCGCUGCCUCUGUCUGCGUCCUCAACCCGCACCCAGGGGCUCGCUCCGGCCUCGCAGCGCCGAUGGGCCCCGACGGGGCGGCCGGCUCCAGCUCCGCCAGCUUUCCGAACAAAACAUUCACCAAAGCGAGAACCGCAGUGCUGCGUAGGGCAGCUCCAACCUGGCGCAGAGAGCCGUCAAACCUCCAGAGAGGGAGAAAGCCGAGCGGCCUCUCCUCGCUUGUCACUACCAAUCCGUGCUCACGUCUAUCAUGGAGGGAAGAGAACGCAGCCUCCAGGGCCGCCUGGGACAAACGGGAGCAAGAGUGUGCCGGGCCCACCGGGGAUGUUCGGUCCACGGGAGCUUAUGGGGAGGUUAUUUUUCCUCUCUUUCCACGGCUCUCCCAUUCUGUUUGUUCGAACAUCAUCUGGAUCUGCUAUGCAGAGAUCCGGUAUCUCCAGGCGGACAGGAGCCAGAAAAAAAAGGAGCUAAAGGCAGCUCCCCGGCCCCAACCUCCCCUCCCCACCUUUGUUUUGAUUCACCCCAUGGUGUUUAAGGUAGUUCCCUGCGCCCACCGUGCUCCCACUAAGGCCACUGCUGCCGCGACAUCGAGUUGUUUUGCUUUCAGUGUUACAUUUGGCUCUUGACAUUAGAAGUUGCCAAAACAGCCGGGAAGGUUUUAUUCGUUGUGGUUGGGGGGGGAGAGGGGAGGAAGAGAGAGAGAGAAAAAAAAAAGAAGAAACAGGCUUUGUUUUUCCUUCUGCUCUCACCCUGGCGUUCAGGAUGGGGCAGAAUAAACAGGCUGCUCUAUUCCCAGCCCGGCUCAGUGCGAGGCAAUGCGGCCGAGAGGCGCAGCAGGACACUAGGGGGCACCGCAGCCCGCGAGAGGAGCGGCCCGGCCCGGCCGGGAGAGCGGGCACCGGCGGAGCAACCUCGGGCAGCCUUAGGGAGGGGGCAGCGCUGGGUGCGCGCCUAUGCCUCGCAGCUGGGGGUGAUUAUCUCCUCUCUUAAACAGCACCCGCUUAGGCGGGGUUUAGCGUGUUCGUGUUUGGUACGUGCUUGGUUUUGCUGGUCUUAGUUACGCGAUCAGCUGCAUCCCUGCGGGUCCGGCUCCGCGCAGCCCCCAAGCUGCCUGAAUGCGGCGAGCAAAGUCACGAGAGCACUCUCGGCCCCGCCACAAAUAGGAUGUUUCCCUCCGAAAUCAAAGGACCCUCUCUGCUGAUUCAGCCCAGGUUUGGUUUCGAUCCAUAGGUUCCCAGACCGUUAUUUUUGCCUUUGUUCUUUGGAGCUGUAGCAAUUAAAGGUUUGCAGUAGGACGCAGGCACGGUCGAGCCAGGCUGCUCUGUUUCUGUGUCUGGUUCCUAUUGGUGUGGGCUUUACGCUUCUGGGCUGCUGUGCUCGGGACCUUCAAGUGUGUCCAGAGGAGCUGCCCGGGGCACUGCUGUUCUUACACUGGGCACAGCCAGCCUGGGUUGGGCCCUUGGACGUGCCGGGACUGCUCGUGUCUCCCACGUGUCUCUUGCAUAGGCAAGGAAGGACCGAGGCAACUGAGCACCGUUAUGUGCCUGGCUCUGGAGGGCACCAUUCCACGGUAACUCUCCCUUUGCUACACAUCUCUUUGGAACAAUCUGCUGUAGAAUAACUGAAGCUAAAGCCACGGUUUCUGAGUAGCAAGUGAGUUUCAGAAAGGAUCUUUCUCUUACACGGACGUUUUCUGCUCUCAAAUAUUAUGGCAAACAAAGCCUUGUCUUUCCUUUUAUGUGACAUGGAGAAAUUCUGAGUAUGAAUGUCACCCCUCCUGUGGAUGAAGAGGAGGGAAAUCCCUCAGUGCCUCCUAAGAGCCUGCUAAACUGGGGUUCCUAAGCUGCAAGUUUCACCUAGUGCUCUUCAAAUAUAGUUCAGCCAUUUGGAAUCGGAAUAAUAAACAUCUGUGCUGAAACACGCAGCAAAAGCUCCAGACUGAGAAAUGAAUUGAGCUGCUCCUUUGCUGCAGCAUUGAGGCUGUGCUGGAGGUGCGUCAGCAGGAGCUGCCAUUCUCGCAGUGCUGCGCUUUUCCUGCUCUCAGACGUGACACUGAGGAUUCUUAUAACCCUGAUCUGAGACAAAGGAAAUCAAGAAUUUCUAUCAAGAGCAGUUCCAAUAGGUGCUCAGAGGCUUCCUUUAGGUAGGAGGGACUGACGCUCUGAAAAGUAGAGGAAAAUCCUUUCUCCCUCUUUACUGUCACUUCGAUAAAUGAGUAAUGAGGCUUUUCCUUUUGUCCGAGGUCAACAGGUUUUAGCCUGUCCCUCAUCUCAUUCUCCGGGGAGUACUUGCCGCUCCAGUUACGUGUUUAUUUGCCUGUCCAUUGUCGAGAGUCCUUUAGGGCGCUUAGUUGUUUGCACUUCACUUGAGUGGAGCAGUUGCAGAGGGAGAAAUGAGAAAGUGAGAUGAGGAAAUGGCAGGGACAGCCCCGCUCCCCCCAGCCACAGAAGGGAAGCGAUAGCUAAGGGGAGACUCGAGAAUAAGGCAAUGGGAGCGUCUAGGUAGGCUUUGACACUCAAACUGGUGGCUGUUCUGGUCGUAUAUCUCUGUUUUUAGUCUCAAAUAUCUUUUGGAAACAAACAAGAAGUGUCUAAUGGGGAAACUGGGACAGAUUCUGCAUUGUGUAAAUCUGGUGUAACUCCAACUUCAAGGGAAAUAUUCCAGAUUGAAUCUGGUAUAAUUAAGAUUAAAAAUUGGCUCUGGAAAUCUUUUCUUUGGCAAUAAAGUUAGAGAAGUACUGUGAAAAAAAAUAAUUCAAACCAGAACAUUGUUUCAGUGCUCUUUUAAAUAACAUUCGCUAUAGGCUCUUUGAAGGCAUUUGCUCUCCAUGACAGCAGUACUUUAAAACUUUCACUUUGGUUCCACAAUCUGGGUUAACCCUUGAAAACCAAGAGUGGCUAAAAUAGCUAAAAUGCCUUAUGUGCACCGACAUCAUUUUGCAGGACUUUCUCCAAAUUAAUUAAAAGAAAUCAGUGGAAGUGCUACAAUUGCUGCCACGGCAAACCUCUCUGCAAGGAUAAAGCUACACAUAUCACUAUCAUACCCAAAGCAAUUCGGGCAUUGCGAUCGUUCUAAAUUUAUACUUACUUGUCAACGGGGUUUGUUUUUGUUUUUCUUUCAUGGUGAAGACUUUAUCUGAAUGUUAAACUCCCCACUGAGGAGGAGCGACUUCCAGAAGGCAGUUGUUGAGUAUUUCUGGGAAGCAAACUCUGAAUGGAGUCCCUAAAGGAAUGCUGAAAAACUGAAGACCCAUAAGUUACUGAGCAUUUUUCUAGCAUCAUAAACCAGAUGGCAAGAUGUCCUUUAGCAGUCAUUGCAUCCAAUGCUACCUCAUUUAUUAGGCCUGUGUCCCCAGACAAAAUGACUUCACUGUCAUUUUAUUGCAGUUCCUGAGAAGGUGCUGCUGUUUUGUGUAGCUGGAUGAGUGUCCCAGGUCUGUCAUUAAUUCCAAUCAAAGUUUUGAUUCUUUUUUUUUUUUUUAGUGGACCUGGAUAUUCAACAUAGAUUAUUAAGAACAUUCUUUAAGGUGUGGAAGAAAAGAGGGAAAAAAUGCAUCAGCUGAGCCUGUCUUGGGUUCCUUAUGGCAUACACGGUGUGGUGUUUUUUUGCUUUUUAAGUCAGAUGGAGAAGUAGGAGUCAUUAAAUCUUAUUUAUUUCAAAAGCACAGGAACAUGGAGGCUUGUCCACUGUGUUCUGGCCAGAGAACUUCUCUGUGAAUACUUGAGCUGGGACACUGGGAUGACGUUGGUUCCAUGGUGGCAACUAUGUUGAAAGAUAGUGUUUUGUAGCUGAGAAUUUGCUCUGUCAAAUAGUGUUAUUGUGCUCUUUGUGUUUGUUGUAGUUUCCACUGAAAUAAAUAGGAGGUGUUACUUUUGAAAUGACAUACAUGCAAUUUAUAAAUCAGAGCAACGUUCUUUUCUGGUUCUCCUUGUCAGCCAAGGGCACUGCAGAAAAAGAGUAGGGUAGGAAUGGGUCACUUCAGCCCUAUUUUCUAUUUUUACAGUCAAAGGGAAUAGAAACGUGUUCUCCUCAGUGUCAAGAGAAUUCAGAAUUUCCAUUUCUUCUCUUUUUGUGACGAGAGAAAACAUUUGUGGUGCCAAAGUAAAUCCAAAUAAAUUCUUGCAAUUCCUAUCCAUCACCAAA